rnacentral:rRNA from 1 species
AAAUUGAAGAGUUUGAUCAUGGCUCAGAUUGAACGCUGGCGGCAGGCCUAACACAUGCAAGUCGAACGGUAACAGGAAGCAGCUUGCUGCUUCGCUGACGAGUGGCGGACGGGUGAGUAAUGUCUGGGAAACUGCCUGAUGGAGGGGGAUAACUACUGGAAACGGUGGCUAAUACCGCAUAACGUCGCAAGACCAAAGAGGGGGACCUUCGGGCCUCUUGCCAUCAGAUGUGCCCAGAUGGGAUUAGCUUGUUGGUGAGGUAACGGCUCACCAAGGCGACGAUCCCUAGCUGGUCUGAGAGGAUGACCAGCCACACUGGAACUGAGACACGGUCCAGACUCCUACGGGAGGCAGCAGUGGGGAAUAUUGCACAAUGGGCGCAAGCCUGAUGCAGCCAUGCCGCGUGUAUGAAGAAGGCCUUCGGGUUGUAAAGUACUUUCAGCGGGGAGGAAGGUGUUGUGGUUAAUAACCGCAGCAAUUGACGUUACCCGCAGAAGAAGCACCGGCUAACUCCGUGCCAGCAGCCGCGGUAAUACGGAGGGUGCAAGCGUUAAUCGGAAUUACUGGGCGUAAAGCGCACGCAGGCGGUCUGUCAAGUCGGAUGUGAAAUCCCCGGGCUCAACCUGGGAACUGCAUUCGAAACUGGCAGGCUUGAGUCUUGUAGAGGGGGGUAGAAUUCCAGGUGUAGCGGUGAAAUGCGUAGAGAUCUGGAGGAAUACCGGUGGCGAAGGCGGCCCCCUGGACAAAGACUGACGCUCAGGUGCGAAAGCGUGGGGAGCAAACAGGAUUAGAUACCCUGGUAGUCCACGCCGUAAACGAUGUCUACUUGGAGGUUGUGCCCUUGAGGCGUGGCUUCCGGAGCUAACGCGUUAAGUAGACCGCCUGGGGAGUACGGCCGCAAGGUUAAAACUCAAAUGAAUUGACGGGGGCCCGCACAAGCGGUGGAGCAUGUGGUUUAAUUCGAUGCAACGCGAAGAACCUUACCUGGUCUUGACAUCCACAGAAGUUUCCAGAGAUGGAUUGGUGCCUUCGGGAACUGUGAGACAGGUGCUGCAUGGCUGUCGUCAGCUCGUGUUGUGAAAUGUUGGGUUAAGUCCCGCAACGAGCGCAACCCUUAUCCUUUGUUGCCAGCGGUUAGGCCGGGAACUCAAAGGAGACUGCCAGUGAUAAACUGGAGGAAGGUGGGGAUGACGUCAAGUCAUCAUGGCCCUUACGACCAGGGCUACACACGUGCUACAAUGGCGCAUACAAAGAGAAGCGACCUCGCGAGAGCAAGCGGACCUCAUAAAGUGCGUCGUAGUCCGGAUUGGAGUCUGCAACUCGACUCCAUGAAGUCGGAAUCGCUAGUAAUCGUGGAUCAGAAUGCCACGGUGAAUACGUUCCCGGGCCUUGUACACACCGCCCGUCACACCAUGGGAGUGGGUUGCAAAAGAAGUAGGUAGCUUAACCUUCGGGAGGGCGCUUACCACUUUGUGAUUCAUGACUGGGGUGAAGUCGUAACAAGGUAACCGUAGGGGAACCUGCGGUUGGAUCACCUCCUUACCUU